UACGUAGGCGGAAUAUUAAGUCAGUGGUGAAAUCCUGCGGCUCAACCGUAGAACUGCCAUUGAUACUGAUAUUCUUGAAUGUAGUUGAGGUAGGCGGAAUGUGUAAUGUAGCGGUGAAAUGCUUAGAUAUUACACAGAACACCGAUUGCGAAGGCAGCUUACUAAACUAUCACUGACGCGGAUGCACGAAAGAGUGGGGAGCGAACAGGAUUAGAUACCCUGGUAGUCC
rnacentral:rRNA from 1 species